CAAAUCGACGGUCGGCUCCGUUAGACUUGACCUACACUAUUAAAAGUAUUUGGAAAUUAAAUUUUAUAAUUUUUCGACAUCAUUUGGCUAGUGAUCAAAAUGUCUCAAAAUUGACAAUUUUAAUGGUAGAUGUGAUGCGUUUGUAAAUUUAACGGUGUAAAACAAUCCAAAUCUGAUAAAAUUUUUAUAGAAAUUUUUUUUCACUAUUUAGAGUAAAAUCAGUACCUCUGAUCUUAAAUUCAAGUUAUUUUCAUCCAUGUUUUUAGAGGUUUUUUUUUUAGCCGUUCUUUUUUAGACUUUUUUUGUUUUUUUUUUUUAACCUCGAUUUGACAGUAAAUUAAUGCCAAAAUAGUGAAAAUUUAAUAUAUAUAAUAUAUAUAUAGCGUUAUUAGAUCAAGUCUAACGAACCGAUCGUUCGAUUGAAAAGCCACAUCAUUAAAACAAGUUUAAGUACGAAGCCUCCAUACCGAUAGUAUACCAGCCAGCUCAUAUAUAUAUAUUAAUAUAUAUAUAUAUAUAUAUAUAUAUAUAUAUAUAUAUAUAUAUAUAUAUAUAUAUAAAAUUGAGCUCCUAUGCUUUUAAAAGUAUCAAGACAUUGGUGCUUGUAGAUUUUUAGCCAUUGGAUUAAGAGAUAUGCGAUUAGAAUGAUGUGGGCUCCCUAGGAUUGAGUGGGUGGUUGGUUGAAUAGUAUAAUCUAAUGGUUGAAAAUGAUCCGUGGAGUAAAUCUAAUGGUAAAAACUUACAAGCACCAAGUGCUUGGUGCUUUUACAAGCACCAUAGCUGGACUCUAUAUAUAUAUAUAUUUGAGCAUACUUGCAAAUAUGCGUAAUAAAUAUUUUAAUAAGUAUCCCAAAUUAAUAUAAAUAUGUAAACUCAUUCAAAACUUUACAUUGUAAAAUUUAAAUUUUAAAAAAUAAUUUUAUUUAUUAUAUACUAUUAUAAAAUAUUUGUUUUAUUCUAACUCAAAUUUAUAUAGUUGUUGUCAAUAAUAAUUAUAUAAUUCUAUUUUUUAUUUAUAUAAAUAGAUAUAGAUAUACAUUGAAUAUUUUUCUAUAUUUUUUAAUUUAAUAAAUCUAAAAUUUAAAUAUAUAUUCACUAUAACAGAAUUAGUUUAUAGGGACACAUGUUUGGGACACUUUUGUGUAAGUGUCCUAUUAUACCAAAACUUAAGAAAAUAUUUACUAAUGCCUAAAUAUAAAGCCCAAUCCAACAAAAAAUAAAAGAUUACUCUACUCAACCCACCCCAUCUAGCCCAUUCAGUCUGAUUACAAACAAAAAAAAAAGAAGAAAAAAUCGAUUACCAUCUCCCCUUCUCCCCUCGCUUAAUUCACUAGAAUCCUAGACAAAGAGCCCUUCCCUCUCAUCCUCCUCCGCCACCGCAGCUAACGAGGUAGAGUUUCGGCGGUUGCCAAAUGCUUAAAUAAGUGUUGGUAAAUUAACAGCACUCUUUUAGUUUAUAGCAACACUCUUUAACUAUCACUAUAUACCUAACGACCCCACAUAUAGCAACACAUUUUAAAAAUGUCGGUAAUUUAGUCAGCGACACUUUUAACAGCAACACUUUUUUUUACCUGUACCGAUAUUUAAAAGUAUCGCUAUAGGUCGUUUUUGUUGUAGUGUUAAACAAAAAGUAUUAAAAUUAAAAAAAUAAUAUAACAAUAAAAUAUUAGUAGAUAGAAUAGACAUAAUAUGUACAUAUUUAUCUUUAAAAGAAAAAAUAUUUAAUAAUAAAAAUAUUUAAUAAAAAAUAAAAUAUUAAUAGUUGGAGAACAAAGUGGAAUAAAUAUUUAUUUUGCAUACAAAAAAAAGUCGAUAGAUCGAAAUUUGAAAUACGUAUUUUUACAUAUAGUAUAGAUAUAUUACACUUUUUAGUUUUAUCUCUCUUUUAUUUGGCUCUCAUUCAUUUGAUGGAAAUCCAAAAUCAAAUCAGUUAGGUUCUUUUAUUUGGCUCUCAUUCAUUUGAUGGAAAUCCAAAAUCAAAUCAGUUUGGUUAGUCAUACAAGCGACCGGAAAACUAUUUACACCCCAAAAAUAAAAUUUUUAAUUAUUUCGUUGCUAGUAAAAAUAUUUUCUCCGAAAAUAAUUUUACAGAUUUUUUUUCUUUUUAGCAGAAGAGUUUUUGAAAAAUUGGAAAUCGAAAACUUCCAAAAUUGCAGUGCAUGUCCACGGACCACAUGAUUUGUAUUAUAAUAUAGCAUACUUAUCCUAUCAUAUUACUUUAAACUUUAUUUUAUCUUAUUACUAUAUAUUAUAAUAUUUUUAAAUGUCCUGUAAUAAUUAAAUAUAAUAUUUACGUAAUAUAAAAUAAAAAAUUCCUCUAAAUAAUCCAUAAUUCAUAAUAGAUAAUAAGAGUCCGGCUACUAUACUAUUGAUAGUAUCAAGCCUUUGGUACUAUUAAGUUUUCUGACGUUAGAUCUAUCCUUUGAUCAUUUCCACCCGUUAGAUUAUACUAUUAAACCAACCACCCACUUAAUCCUAGGGGACUACUAUCAAUUUAACCGGAGGCCACUAUCAUUUUAACCGCACAUCCUUUCAUCCAACGGUCGAAAACUCAAUAAUACCAAGGGCUUAAUACUAUUGAUAGUAUAGUAACAUAAUUCUAUAUAAUAAUAUACAUGCAAUUUAUCCUUUGUAUUUAUUUCAAGAAAAUUAUAUAAGGAUGAUAAUGAAAAUUCUUUUUUUAUUCCUACGAACUUAUCAUCAUGACCUGUGUACUAACACGCCAUACCACACCACUUAUAUUACAUGACUAUUAUUCUAAUAUUAAAAUUUAAUUUAACAUAUUUGAUAUGCAAUGUCAAAUAAUUUAAAUUAUGUUGAAUGGAUUAUAUUUUAAAAUUUCUAUUGCAAGAUUUUAAGUAUAUAGAAUAUGUACUUAUAUACAUCAGGCAUAGAAAAUGCUUAACAGCAGGGCAAGUUUAUUACACUAAAUAGAAGAAAUCGUUGCUCGUAUAUAGUAUAUAUUAAUGCUUCAUAUACACCGCAUUUUAUAUUUUCUAAAUUGAAUGUAAUAUUUGAUGAUUAGUAAUUUAAAAUAAGUUAUGAUACAGUAAUGGAGCGUUGGAUGUGAUAAUAAUUGACAUUUGUGAUAAGAAUGGGUACAAGUACUGUAGCACAAUCCAGAUCUCGUCGCUGUGAUCCGCACCUAGCAUGACACUACAACCUGUACACACGUUCUCAUCUGAGAAAAAGGGUGUAUUUAAAAUAACAUUAAUUUUAUAUAGUUCUAUAUAAAUAUAUCGAAUAAUAAAUAUAUUUUUAUAAAAUAUAAUUUUUUAUAUUUGUCAUUAUAAAAGUUCAGUGAUAUUUAUAUUUGUCUUUCUGCUUUGUUCCCAUUAGAGUACUAUUUAUUUUCUAAUAAAAGAUAAGUAAAAUGACAUUUUUGUUAUCGUAAAUAUGUCUAUCCAAAAGCGCCAAUUAUUAGAAUUAUGUAGAAAUAACUUUCUAAAAAUUUUCAACAAAUAUCUUCUUCUUUUCUACCAUCACAAAUAAUAUAAAAGAGGUAAAAAAGUCAAUUUAUCUCAUUCACUUCCGAUAGUAUAGUAGCUCUAUUUUAUAUAGUGUAGAGCUAUUAUGCUAUCGGAAGCAUGGAGGACUUAGGCUUCGUUUAGGAUUGCGGAGAGAUUGCGUUACAUGCAGUGAGAAAGUACGUUAGAAAAAUACCCAGUUUGUUUCCGUACGUAAUAUUGCGUUCCGCAUAUCGUGAUGUGUCGAUUACGAUAUAUUUUCUGCGGUCCCGUCGGAGAACGCAGAAGCAUAUUCCUAUAUGUUUUUUUCUCAACUCCAUUUUAUCUAACAGCAUUAGAUAGAUCUCAAUACCAAACUAAGCCUUAGUACUUCCGACUUUCUGGCCCUUUGGAUCAAGGAUUAUACAGUUUGGAUGAUUGCGGUACUCCCUAGGAUUGAGUGGUCCCCAUGAGGUAAUAAUAUUAAUCCAUAAUUUUUCGAUAUCAUUUAUCAAGUGGUCAAAAAAUUUAAAAAAUUAUUUAAAAUACAAUUUAGUUACAAAUUAUUAUUUGUAAACAGCAAAAAAAAUUUCAAAUAUGACUAAGGGCAAUUUUGCAAUAGGUUAUACUUUAUUGUCAGAAUUAUUAAAUUUUAUAAAAUGAAACGAAACAUAUUAGUUCUAUAUACACUGUAAUUCAACAUUAUAUUACUGAUUAAGCCAAACACAGUUAUGAAAAAUUAAUAGUAAUUUGAUUUAGAAAUUUUAAAUACAUGAUUAUGUUAAAUAAUCUGUAAUGCUAUAUAAAGUGAACCAAAUGCGCCUAAAAGUAUAGAGCUGAAGAUUUGUGUAGUGCUAUCAACGAUGUGUUCUAUUAAGUCUCAUUUAUUAAUAUUGUAUAGAUUUUGAGGCGAUUUGAAUAUUCGAUUGCUAAAAAAUCACACUGCAAAUAUUUCUAUAUUUUUAAAAAUACAGAAGCUCAACUCUGUGUCUCACGAUAUACAAAACAAAAGUACAAAAAUUCUAUCAUAAAGAUUAUAUUUUGAGCAUCACCCUUUCCUCUUCAAGGCAAAGACUAACACACGAUACUUUGCUUUUCCUUUCAAAAGGUGCCUUGCAAUGUUAUUUGCAUACCUUGAGAACAACUCAUCAAGUUAUGCCCUCCCCAAAAUGGCUACUAAUUAUGGGCUCAGCCACUUGUCACGGGCUUAAAUUUUUCGACCUCAAAGCCCGUGCGGCGCCCCCUUCCUGCUCGAAGAUGGACAAACCUAUCCCAAGUCCUAACACGGACAAGUCUCCCAAACUUAAGCGUCACGUUCGACCCCCAACGAUCGACCCGUGACACACUGCUCUUAUGGACUUGGCCACAUUUGUACCGCUCCGGAGAUUGUCGAGCACGAAAUCGUCGCACGAAUCGUCGAACGGGUCCCAACUCGACUCGAAAAACUACGCUCGGCUAACAUCGAAUAGCCCCCCCUUCUGAAUCACUUCCUUAACUUCUUCCAUGGUAGGUGCGUGUACUGGUACUUUGAAGGAGUACAACUUUUCCCUCUUCUUCCAUGGUAGGUGCGUGUACUGGUACUUCGAAGGAGUACAACUUUUCCCUCGCCACAAGUCCCUAAAAUUGCACAAUCAGUACGAGCACAUUUACAAAUAGCUCUGCUCAAACAGCUUUCUGGUUGACGAAAAUUAUCUAACCUCUGAGACCAUGUCGUGAAGCGCAUCUUGUAGUAAUAUCCAAAAAUACCUUUCAUCUCCAAUUGACAUGUUCUCCUCGCUCCCUAGAAAUGUUAACACCAUUUGGCCUCCGGGAGCAAGUUCUUCGUGGCUAAAAUUGAGAAAAUUUGAGAAGCCAUUUUUGAAUUCUUGUGCAUAUAAAUUCACCACCCAAGGAGGGCUUGUUUCUCCGAUAUGAAUGUUUCCCUUUUUCUUUUCUUUUUUUUUUUUUUUUUUUGAGAGAGAGAGAGAGAGAUGAUAUGAAUGUUUCCUUGGUCUAAUACUGUGCCUGUUUUGAUCUUAAGUCCUUCAGGAACCUAAAUUAACAAAACUAGGUAUAAAGACCCAGCCCACUAGCAAUAAUAACUCGUUGGGCCCAGUCAACAGCCCAAAAUGCUUAAGCCCAGUUAUUAUUACUAGUGUCUAAGUCUCUUAUAAACCCAAUGACAACCCCAUUCCCAUCCGAUGUGGGANACUUCUUCCAUGGUAGGUGCGUGUACUGGUACUUUGAAGGAGUACAACUUUUCCCUCUUCUUCCAUGGUAGGUGCGUGUACUGGUACUUCGAAGGAGUACAACUUUUCCCUCGCCACAAGUCCCUAAAAUUGCACAAUCAGUACGAGCACAUUUACAAAUAGCUCUGCUCAAACAGCUUUCUGGUUGACGAAAAUUAUCUAACCUCUGAGACCAUGUCGUGAAGCGCAUCUUGUAGUAAUAUCCAAAAAUACCUUUCAUCUCCAAUUGACAUGUUCUCCUCGCUCCCUAGAAAUGUUAACACCAUUUGGCCUCCGGGAGCAAGUUCUUCGUGGCUAAAAUUGAGAAAAUUUGAGAAGCCAUUUUUGAAUUCUUGUGCAUAUAAAUUCACCACCCAAGGAGGGCUUGUUUCUCCGAUAUGAAUGUUUCCCUUCUUUUUCUUUUUCUUUUUUUUUUUUUUUUUGAGAGAGAGAGAGAUGAUAUGAAUGUUUCCUUGGUCUAAUACUGUGCCUGUUUUGCUCUUAAGUCCUUCAGGAACCUAAAUUAACAAAACUAGGCCAUAGUUCUCUCUAUUUAAUAAGAAAACAUUUCGGCUUUUUCAAGAAAACGUGUAGAAAUUAAAGAAAAUUUUUCUAUGCAAACGUUUGUAUGCAUACAUACACAUUCACAUAUUUCUCUUUUUUUUUAUUUUAUAUAUAUGUACUAGUUAAGAAUUCACGUGAUGCGGUAGAUAUAAGAUAUUUUAAUAUAUAUUAAAAUUUAGUUAAGUUUUAUUAAUUAAAUUAAUUUAAAUAAAAACAAUUUAAAUUGGUAUAUGCAUGUGCAACGUAAAUUUUUGUCUAAAAUAAUAUUUUUUUAGCUGUAAUGCAGGGAUUGUCAAGAAAAAAAAAUGGUUAAGGAAUAUCUGUGAGAAAAAAAUUGUAUAAAAUAGAAAACUAAAAAUAAAUCUAAAGUACAGUGUAAAAUUGAUAAAAUAUAAUCGUACUUAACGCCUUUGAAAAAAAAUAGUAUAAUAUAGCAAAUAAAAAAAUAGUAAGGACAUGUUUGGUUCAUCAUUAGAAUAGAAAUAAGAAAUAAAAUUGGAUUAUAUUGAAAUAGAAAAUGGAAUGAUGAAUCAUCAAAAAAUGUUUGAUUCAAUAUUAAAAUGAAAAUCGGAAUGGAUACUAAGGAUUUUAAAAAAAGAGUUUCUGUUAACAGAGAAGAGCGAUGAAAAGAGAGAAGAGAGAAGUGUUUGUGAAAGAAAGUUUUAAGCAGUUACUUUCGAACGGGUCAAUUUAGAAUUCAAAACCAGAUUGAGCAAUAAAUGGAUGAGGUCAUUUCUAUUUCAGAGUGAAAUGGAAAUUGAAAUUUGAUUUCUAUAAAAUAAAUAACAACUAUCAAAAUCAAUUAAUCUCAUUUUGAUUGCAUAUAUAGUUUAAAAUAGUGUUUACUAAAAAAAGAGUAUAAUGUAGCAAAUAAAAAUAACAUAUUAAGGGUAUGUUUGGUUCAAGAGUGAAAUUGGAAUGGAUAAUAGAAUAGGAAUGAGUUGGAAUGGUAAUUAGAUUGCCCCAUUCCCCCAAGACGUUUGGUUCAUUUCUGGAUUGAAAAUCGGAAUGAAUUAUUUCUAUUUCACUAUUUGGUUGAUACAAAGUAAAAAAAUAAUAGAAAAACAUAAUACUAAUUUCAUUUUUAAAUAUAAUUUUAUAAAACUAUCUAAAAUUUAUAAAAAAAAAAUUAAUACUACUCUCAAGUUAGAGCAAUGCCAAAAAAAAAAGGAAUUUAUUUUAAAAAUUUUUAUGCAAGAAAUUACAAAAGAAUGCAUAAAUUUUUUUGAAUAAAAUUAUAAUAAAAAAUAAUAUAUCACGUUUUUUUUUUAAUAAUGAGAAAAGAGGGAAGAAAUCAGUAUAGGAAGAGAAAUGAAGGAAAAGAUUGAGAAACGUUGGACUGGGCUUGAGGAAGAGGUGAGUGUGGGCUUGAAAUUGAAACUUCAAUCCGGACUUAAAAGUCGGAAUCAAUUUGUUAAUUUGUAAACUAAUGGACCAUUCCCAUUCCGAUCCGGAAUGGGAGUUCCAAACCGAUUCCUGUGAACCAAACAAAAUUAGAAGGAUUUGAUUAAACCGAUUUUCAUUCCGGAUCCAAAAUAUACGAACCAAACAUGCCCUAAGAGUAUAUUUGGUUCAUGAUUAGAAUAGCAAUUAGAAAUGAAAUUGAAUUGUAUUGGAUUGAGAAAUGAAAUGACGAAUAAUCUAAAAAUAUUUGGUUUAUUAUUAAAAUGAAAAUCUAAAUAAAUAUCUAGAAUUUUAAGAAACAGUUUUGUCGAAGGGAGGAGAGUAGUUUACUUUGGAAUGUAUCAAUUCGGAAUUUAAAAUUGAAUUGGACUAUUAAUAGAUUGGAUCAUUCUCAUUUCAAAGUGAAAUUGGAAUUGGAAUUUGAUUGCUGUAAAAAUAAAUAACAACCUUCGGAAUUACUGAAGCUCAUUUGGAUUUCGUAGCCUAAAAUUAAUAGAGAAACCAAACAUAUCCUAAAUUACAUAUAUAUAUAUAUACCUGUCGGAGCCACAUGAGACAAUGCGAAGAGUGAAAGAAGUGGACGCUUUGAGGCGGAAAAAGCCUGCCAUAGAAGGAGCCGGGCAAUCCUGCGAUGUAGUAAGGAAUGAAUGUCUUCUUAUCCAUUUUCUGCUCAAACAGCUCGAGAGAUCGAAAAAUGUUGUUAAAAUCGUUUGCCGGCAGGUCGUUCAAGAAGACCUGGAGGUCCGGCGGGGGGCGUCCGGCCUUCCUGCACUGGUCGGCCACUGUUUCGAUCACUUCCGACGCCACCAGAAGUGCGUUCGGGCCCGACGAGCAACCCAAGUCCGCCGCGACCAUACUCUUCGGCAGGAGAGUCCUGUAAAUCUCUCCGACUACCUCCUCUAUGAUGGCCUUGGUCUCCAAUAUAGCCUUCUCCUGGGAUUAGUUACACAGCAAAUUCAAAGAGAUCAUUGAUUUAUACACUUAGGCUGCGUUUAGUUAAAGAACUAAAUUUUAGAGAACAAUAAUUUUUGUUGUUUUCGAGAACAGGGUAUAUUUCGAUAUAAGAUAGAAUAAUUAUAAAUUUGUAUUUCGAUGCAUUCGAAGAUAUUAUAGAGUAAAUCCUUAGUAAGGUUUGAAUAAAAAGUCUAGAACAAUAUCUAAAUAUAUUUUUAAAAAUAAAAUAAUUAAUUUAUAUUAUACAAUAAAAUUUAAGUAUUAAUAUAUUAUCAUAAAAAUAAUAUUUAUAUUAAUAUAUUUAUUUAUAUAUCUAUUUAUUUAAUAAAAUAAAAGGAAGAAUAAAGUUGUUCUUAGUUCCCCUAGCAACAAUUCUUAAUGGAUUGUUCCAUAACAACCCAGAACAAUUCGUCUUGAUCAAAACAGUCCAUUCUCUGCAGUUCUUCCACCAUUUAGUUUUCCACCAUUUAGUUACAAAUUUAGAAAUAUCCUUUCUUGUUCCGGAACAUCCUCGCUACCAAACCCAGCCUUAGUGGCCGUUUGGUUUUAUAUAGUCACAGCUAUACUGUAGUGGUAAAUGCAUAUAGAUUCAAAUUUGAAAUUUGGUUUGAUGUUUUUUAAUCCAGCUACGCAAGUUGAAACUAUCCUUACAUUGGUCGCAGUUGGGCGUAAUUCUAUCUAUAGUAGUUGAAGAAAGCAAUUUUAAAUAAAAGGUAAAUAUAUUAAAGGAUUUUACCAUUCAAUUUUUUAUUCUAAUCAAUUCCGUUUCCUAUUCCAAGUUUAAUUUCUAUUUUGAAUCAAACACGUCCAUAGUGUUUACAUUUUUUAACUUUUGUCGAAUUCGAAAGUAGAUUAAUGGACUAUUAAUGGUGAAAAGAAAAGAAAAAAAAGAGUUUAGAAGAUGUUUUCCGGUGCGCAUAUAGAGUGAGGCUACUAUGCUUCUAGAAGCACCGAGCCUUCCGUGCUUCCAGGUCGUUUUCGAUAUUGCGAUUUUCGAAUCGUCGAUCGGCUCCGUUAAACUUGAUCUAGAGUAUUUGAAGUACUUAAAAAAUAAAUUUUAUGAUUUUUCAAUAACAUUUGCCUAGUAAUCGAAGGGGCUCAAAAUCAAUAAUUUUAGAGACUGUGGUGAGCCGUUUGCAAGUUUAACGGUGUAGAAAUAUCCAAAUCACGUGAAAUUUUAAUAGAAUAUUUUUUAUACUAUAUAAAAUAAGAUCAAUAUCUUUGAUCUAAAAUAUUAAUGUCAUAUCUUUCAAGCAAACCAUAUAAGGAUGGUAUGAUUUUUUUUUUCCUACGAACCAAUCAUCAUGAUUUGUAUAAUAACACUCCAUACGCAGCAUUUAUAUUAGAUAACUGUUAUUCUAACAUUAAAAUUUAAUUCAUUAUAUUUGAUAUUUGAUAUCCAAUGUCAAAUAAUUUAAAUUAUGUUGAAUUAAUGGAUUAUAUUUUAAAAUUUUUAUUGCAAAAUUUUAAGUAUAAAGAAUAUGUAUUCAUACACAUCAAGUGCAGAGAAUGCUUAACGCAGGGCAAACUUAUUCCACUAGAGAGAGAAGAAAUCGUUGCUCGCACAUAGUUUAUAUUAAUGCUUCAUACACUGCAUUUUAUAUCUUAUAAAUUAUAUGUAAUAUUGAUGAUUAGUAAUUUAAAAUAAACUAUGAUAUAUUAUAAAUACAUGAAUUAUACAUACACAGUUUCCAGACUCUGGGCCACACAUCUUAUAUACACAGUAGUUAUUAGUUAAGCCUAGACGUGGGUAAAAAUAUUAAAUAUAAAAUAUUAAAAAUACCGCUUUCUGGAGAAUAACGAUUGUUUCAUAUAAUUUCAUACAACUACGUAUGUAAAACUGCUAGUAAUUUUCAAUUUAGUCUACUAUUUAUUUAUAAAUACAUGAAUUAUAUCUGAGCUACGCAUGUAAGAAUUUGAAUCAUAUUCAUUUGAUUAUGCUAUUCUUUUACUAUAAUAUCAAACUAUUUUUAUUUCUUCAAAAAAAAAAUCAUACAACGCAUAUAUUCACGCUUUCGCCCCAAAUGGUUCUCAUCAAAUCAUAUAAAAAACAUAUCAAUAGAAGAACUAUUUGACAUAAAAGUAAUUUUGAAAUAUAUAUAUAUAUAUAUAUAUAUAUAUAUAUAUAUAUAUAUAUAUAUAAAGAAAAAUAAAAAUAAAGAAAAUAAUUAAUCGUCGCCUGAGAGAUUCGAACUCUCGCGGGGAAACCCCAUGUACUUAGCAGGCACACGCCUUAACCACUCGGCCAAAGCGACGAUGAUUACUUUUGAAUCCCAUUUAGAUAUAUUUAAUGAUUUAAUAUAUGUGUUCUCCGAGUUUGAGUAGGGUGAAAACUAACGAAUAUGGUUGGAUUUUUUACAAAUUCCGAUGUGGAUAUGUAUAGGAUGUUAAAUUUUUAUUACCAUAUCACCUAAAACGAAUUCGAAAUCAGAAAUGAUUUGAAUUUAUAUUCGAAUAAUAAUAUAUACUAAUAUGCAUAUACCAAUAUGAAUUAAAAUUAACACAAAUUAGAGAUACAAUAUAAUGAAAAGUUCACACUCGUGUUCGAACUUCGUAUAUCUAUAGUUUACUCAACAAAUUUUAAUAUUUUAACAAAUAUAAAUAUAAUUUUAAAAUAAAGUUUAUAAUAAAAUAAAUGAAGAAUUCGAUAAAAAACUAUUAUAUCUGUUUACAAUAUAUAUAUUAUACUAUUAUAUAUUAUAUAUAUAUAUAUAUAUAUAUAUACUAUAUAUAUAUAUGAGUCGACUACUAUGACUCUGAUAGAUAGGAGUAUUAGAGUCUCUUGUACUCAUAAGUUUCGACGGUUUAAUUUACCCUUUAUCAUUUUUCACCCAUUAGAUUAUCUAUAUCAACGAACAAUCCAUCCUCAACCCUAGGGCCCCUAGUAACCACUCUAUCCGAAUCGCACAUUUUUUCAUGACCGAAUGGGCCGAAAAAGUAUGAGUAUAAGGCUCUAUACUCAUACUGAGUAUAGUAAGCGCCCGCCUAUAUUUAUAUAUGAAUGAUACAUUUGAGUUCGAUUGUUAUUACAGGCCAGUUGAAAAGUCCAUAAUACGCUUAGCGGGGUUAUCCCUGGCAAUGACGCAAAACCCUAUAGGUGGGUGGUCCAGAGGUAGGGAUGUCAAUGGACUAUGGAUAUCCAAAUUUUAUCCCGAACCCGAACCCCGGACGUGAACGAGCGAUAUAUCGAUACUAAAUGGAGUAUGGAUUCGGAAGGUAUAUCAAAUUAUAGAAAGUUCGACGGAUAUGAAUUUUCCACUGUACCUGACCCGGCACCUGAAACCAAUCCAAUCGAAAUCUAUUUGUAUUAUAUAAAUAAAUAAAUAAAAUAAAAUAUAUAUAUAUAAUAUAUAUAAUAUAUAUUAUAUAUAUAUAUAUAAAUAUAUAUAUAAUAUAUAUAUAUAAUAUAUUUUAAAUUUGUAUUAUAUAAUCUAUUGUGUUAUAUUUGAAUUUGUAUUUUAAAAAUUUAGAUUUAAUAUAAUAUAUUUUGAAAUAUUGAAAAAAGGAAUAAUCGUUUCGAGUUCAAAUUUCCAGGUUCGGGUUUCGGAUUUCUUUGUCAGGUUCGGAUUUGGAUAUGAAUUUUUAAAAUCCGUCGGGUUCGAAUUCGGGUUCGGGUCUCGGGUUUGGAGUCAGGUUCGGGUUCGAGUUUUUGAAAAUCCGUCCCAAAUCUGACCCGUUGACAUCUCUAUCAACAGGUCACCUCUCUAAAGUGAUAUUAUAUUAAAAAUAAACAACCAGAAUUUGUAUAGCUUGUCGAAUUAUGGCUCUUGGAUUUAAACCUUUAAUUGGUUUCCAUGAUUUGCUGUCAAUUCAUUUGGAGCCACACAAGUGGGUGAUUUUGGGAAACUUUUGCUUAUGCGUAUUAAGUUUCCCUUUCACAUAAUACUCUCUCGAAGGCUAUUCAAUUCAAUAGCUUCAAUUUAAAAAAAAAGGUAUAGAAGGCUAGUGAAAUAAUGUGCCACUAGUGUAGUAAUUUGUGCAUGCGAUAGGUAGACAGUUAGAAAAAAAAUAGAAAACGGCGAAAAAGAAAAAUAAAACAGCAAUAGAAGAAGCAAUAAUACGGAUGAAAUUCAUCCUACCGAUGAAGGAAGAUAACAAUCAAAGAAAGCAGAAGAUGAACAGUUCGGUUCAAUGCAAAGGCGUGAUCCUGUUCAAUUCAAGCAAAAAUAAAAAAACAAAAUCCGUUUUGGUUCAAACAAAGAAAAAGAAAAAUAUGUUGAAAACUUGAGCCGGUUUGAAAGAGCAUACACUCAUUCAAGUAAAUAAAGAAAAAAAAUUCAAUUCGAUUCAAACAAAAAAGAAAAAAAAAAAACAGAUGGAGAACUUGAGCUGGUUCGGAGUAGAGCCCACACCCAAUAAUAAAGAGAACAUUGCCAUAUAACAAAUUUAAAAAGAAUAAUGUAUAGAUAUAGAAGAUUUGAUCACCUCUAUAACUGCAUGAUUAAUUAGCCUGAGUCUCUAUGUACGUCAAGCAUUCCAGAAGAUCACGAAGAAUUCCAAUAUGGACAGAGGGUUAGAAAUUGAAGAAUUAGGAUAUGGACGGUUUUCGGCAGUCAAAAUUCUGGAAACAUUCCCUUUGAUUUUUGUUUACAAUUUUAUGAUUACUAUUAUGCUAAUUGCCCUCUAGAUGGGUAUCAGUAGGUCACCUCUAAAUUAAUAUUAUAUCUCAACCACUUAAUUAGAAAAAUAAGCGGCUACAAUUUACAUGGCAUAUUGAAGCGUCGCUCUUGGAUUUAAACCUUUAAAUGGUUUCAAUGAUUUGGGAAAACUUUUGCUUAUGCAUAUUAAGUUUCCCUUUCACACACUUAAUACUCCCUCAAACGCAACGUUCGAUAGCUUUAAUUUUGGACUGAUGGAUUAGCUUGUGAAAUAAUUUGUUAUUUUGUCACCUUUUGUGACUGAUGGAUUAGCUUGAGUCUCUAUAUAUGUGGCAAGCAUUCCAGAAGAUCACAAGAAUUCCAAUAUGGUCAGCUGGUUUGAAUUUGAAGAAUUGGAUAUGGACGGUUUUGAGCAGUCAAAAUUCUGGAAACAUUCCCCUUUGAUUUUUUUCAAAAAAUAAAAGAAUUUAUGAUUAUUGAAAUACUGAUGAGUCUAUUACUAACUUAUCAUACCACUUAGAUCGGGGGUUGUUAGAAAUAAGUCUAUGUUUAAGAAUAAUAUCUAAAUAUAUCUUUGAAAACUUUAAAAAUAUCUAAUAUAUUUCUGAUGGACUAAAAUGUUCUUAUUAAUUUUCAAAAUUUCUUCAAAUAUCUCCAAACUCAUAGGAUUUACUAAUCGGAUUUAAAGUUUAGUAGAAUAUUUUAGUAAUUUCAGAAUAAAUUUAAAAUUUUUAAUAAUAGUCGGGGAUAAAUAAACAAAGGCCCCUUUCUUACUGGACUAAUAAUAAUUCCAUGCUUACCUCCCAACCUGAGAUAAUCUAAUAUUCCCGCCGGUUGGAAAUCUAUAAUGAUUCGACUACUUUGCUUACACAUUUCACAAUUAUCCAAUUUGAAUUGACAGAUAACGGUUUGAAUAUUUUCAAUAAUAAAAAAAAAGGAUUAUUGGAAUAUUGCAAAUUAUGAACCAAACGGGCUCCAAGAGUUUGAGUAAAUUUUAUUUUAUUUCGUUGUUCGGUAAAGGGUGAAAAAAAUUUUCAAUAUAAUUAUUUUUCCUGUUCUAUCUUUUGUUGUAUAAUAAAAAAAGGUGUUAUUUUGGAGUUAUUGAUAAGGAAUAUAUGAUAGCAAAUGAAUUACUGUCAAAUUCUGCCUCAAAUCACGAGAUUUGCGUACGAGUCAUUUGUAUUAUAAGAAAUUCCACCAAAUUCUUCAUAAUGAAUUCAAUUCUCAUUAAUUUAUGAUAGUAAACAACAAAUUAGAAAAAAAAAUAGAAUUUUAAUUUUUUAGAUGAUAAAAAUGUACAGAACAUACAUAAACUAUAUAUCAUUUUGAAUCAGCUAUCCAAUCUUUCUAAAUUUUAAAAUUUAUUAUCCAACUUAAGUUUCUAAGAUUUGACGUAGCGAAAUAAGAAAGGCCGAAAACAAACGUGACUUUGUCGAGAAGUUUCUCAACGAGAUCUCGUUAAAAUUCUUUCGAAAGUCAUGUAACUGUCCCGUACCCGAAUUUUAAAAGUCAGUUCCAACACGAGAGUAGUAAUAUCAUAUCAGAUAAUAAAUAGGAGGAGAGCUCACUAAGGAAAAAAUUGUUUAAUCGUUGAAAAUCCCUCAUAAACUCUCUAAGAAUCAAUUUAACCAAACUAAUUGUAUCCGGAACUUAAUAAUAAUUAUAUAAAGUCUUAAAUUUAUAAACCUAUUUUUUUCACAUUUUUUCUAACUAAAUUUAUUUCUUAAAUAAAAACGAGUACUUUUCUAUUUAAAAAAAAAAAGAAUCAGUUUAAUGAAGAGGGCGAGAAACACGUGAGAGAGGCGUCCCCCUUUUUGAAGACGCAAACGUAAAAACUUCUCCUCGCUUGCGAAGAAAUUAAGCCCUUCAUUUGCUUGCGUGGCAAUUAGAAAAAAAAAAGAAAGAAAAAAAGAAAAGAAGCAACCCAUGAAAACUCACUACAUACGUAAUCGAAUCCAAGCACAACAACAACAACAACACUAUAAAAGACCAACCAAAUUAGAUCUUUGUAGAUUAAGCAAAGUUCAUUAAACUCAUCAUCAUGGCUUUUGAAGCGUUUCUCAAUUCUCUGGAGCAUGGCGUCGGCGGCGGCGGCGACGUUCUAACGAAGGUGGGGGUGUUCGUUCUGGUGCAGGCUCUGGUGUAUCUGAUCCUCACCAAAUCCUCCAACAUUUUCUCCAGCUGCUCUUCUUCUUCUUCUUUUUCUGUGCUCAGAUCUCUCAGCUUCCGGCCCGUCCGGAUGUCGAGCGUCCGCCGCGUGCUCGCCUCGCUCUCCGACGUUCCCGCAGGCUCCGACGAUCCCUCCUCGGCAAACCUUAGUGAUUAGUUUUGAUUUAUAUAUCUCGAUUUAAUCGAAAGUUGUGAUGAAUUUGUUUGAUUGUGAAAGGUUUGUUGAUAAUUGGGUAUGUUGAAGCAGUUUUAGCGUUACUUGUGUAAAUAUUAUGGUGCAAUAUAUAUAGUUGAAAAUGCAACCGUUGUUGUAGUUGUAUUUAACUUUUGUGGCCAUAAAUAUUUUGUUUGGUUCCUUUGUAGCAUGGAAGUUGUAUUUGGCAAGAUUACCCCACAAAAGGAUUUUUUUUUUUUUUUUUGACAUAGCUUGAGAUGCAGGUGAUCAGCCUUCAUCAGUAUAUAAUUACAACUAUAGCAAACAAAUUAAUAUAAAAAAUUUUCAACUUGUCUGCAAUAAUACAUAUAUGAUUAUAUAACGAUCUAGCUUACUAACACUGAUUAUAACUCGUGGGGCUUAAAUCGAUGACCUAAAAUACUUAAAGCUCAGUCAUCAAUUUACCGUGCCCACCACAUGUAAGCCCCUCACUGUCUCAAAGUUUGCAACAUUAUUCGAUGUGAAACUAUUAAGAUGUGACAGAUAAACUUCAAAUAGAGCGAACGAAUGAGCCCCUUAAUUGCACUGAUUUUGUUCUUCAGUUUUGAUUAUCUUUUAUUCAAGUGUUAUCUUACAAGUUUACAAUGCCAUGGGCUGUAGAUCCAUAAUACGCAUCAUGCUUUCGCGCAUAACAAAAAAAACCUUACAUGUUAAGGUGUGUAUAUGCGUAGCGAUCAAGUUAACUGAAUAUUUUUUAUAGAUAAUAAAACUAGCUCUGUUAAAGCUAGGUAACAUAAAGUAGCAAUUUAAUUAGAGCACUACUAAUCUCAAAAAGGUAAAAGCCCAUAUUUCUAUAAAUAUACUUAUUAUUUCUGGGCUUGCAUAUACAAGAUGACAAAAAAUAAAAAAUAAAAAAAAAAGUCAUACUAUAAACAAGUAAGAGUCAAAUAAAAAUAAAAGGUAAAAACGCACAGAUAUUAUCUGAACUAUGAAUCAUUUUGAAUCGACUACCUAAUCUUUCAAAAUUUUAAUUUUACUAUUCAACCUUUCAAUUUAUUUGAUUUGAAUCCGUCAACGAUAUUUUGAUUUCAAAAUAUAAACUUAUUACUUAAAAAUUUAUAAUUGCAAAAACUGCAUGCAAUAUAUUAACUAAACUUAUAAAGAUAAAUGGCGUAUUCAAUUUUGAAGUUAGAGUGCUAUUGACUAUCUCAAAUCAAAUAAAUUGAAAGAUUAAUUAGUAAAAUCAAAAUUCUAAAAAGUUAGAUAGCCGAUUCAAAAUAGGGAUUAUAGUUCAAGUAAUUUCUGUACGUUUUUUUACCGAAAAAAAUAAGAAAAAAAAAAAAUUAAAAUAAUGGCUUAUAAGUGACCUUCCUAUCUCACAUAUGCUUCUUGAUCAUUUCUCUGACCUCAUCAAUUACAAGCCAUGCUUUAUGUCCUCCAAUCACCUCAUCUUUCCAUUCUCCAUCCUUCCAUAUCUGCAAAUUGCAUGCACAUUUCAAAGCAAAUAUCCUCUCACUGGAUCAUAAUGUAGAGACUCAUAUUAAGAGAGACUAGGAAAAUGCAAUGUGGUGUUACCUGAAUUGUAGGCAUUUUCUGAAAGAAAACGAAAAGAAAAAAAAAAAAGGAUUAGUUCAUAAGAGUUAGAAAAUUGCAGGAAAAUAGCUAGCAAACCAAGAUACAAGAGAUAAAAAAUGAAUGAGGUAAUGGCUAUCUUACCGAAAUAUUUCCUCGUUUUACCAAGGCUUGAGGAACUUUAUUAACAUCCACGACGUAAAACUUAACUCUACAAAUGAAGGUAAAAGAAAAAAUUAAAACCAAUUAUUUUUACCAAAAUAUAAACUCUAAAAAGUUUACCAGUUACUACCAUAAGGGAGUGCUUGGUUUUCCAAAAUAAUAUUUCAGAAAAUAGUAUUCUGACAGAAAAAGUAUUUUCCGCUUGUUUGGUUCCCCAAAAAAAUAGUUUUCCUAGAAGACUUUUUCUAUAUUUCAUGGAGAAGCCGGCUUCUCGUUUUUCGGAAAAUGAGAACAAACCUGCAGGCAGGAAAAUCUCUUCUCCAGGAAAACUUUCUUUUUCGCAUGAAACAUUUUUCCACCAUUUUUCGGAAAACCAAACAUCCCCUAAAAUGCCACCAUAAAAUCCCACAAAUGUGUAGUUUCCUCUGUUUUUCUACUCGAUCAAUAUCUAACUGUACACAUUUGAUGCGCUAAAUUAGAUCGAGGUGAGAACUCAAAUCAACCUUGGAUAAAAUUCCGCCGCAAGCUUCUCUAAUUUGGGCUUCAAAUAGAUGCAUUUUCGACACCAAGCAGCCAUCCUAGCAAGAAAAUGAUCAGUAAGAUUAGUUUGUGCGUGUAAAGCAAUAGUCCAUAAUAAUAAUAAUAAUAUUUUAUGGAAAAAAAAAAGAGUACAAAACCUCCCAAACUUUAGCUCGUUUGCAAAUAGGGAGGGAUCUUUCAACUUUAGCAAUUAUACGUAUAAACUUUAUAAAAUAGUUCAAUAGGUUUCUCUCUUCAAUUGAAGUUAUUAAUUACACAUAACCUUCUAAAACUUCAAAUCACACAAAAAAAAUUAUUUUGUAAUUUCUAACAAAUAAAAGAACAACAAAAAUUAAAGUUAGAUUUAUCUUAUUCUUCAAUUUUCAUAUUUAAUUAUCAAAAACGGAAGGGAAAAAAAUAGAUUUUUUAAUAUUUUGAAAUCUUAAAACAUUACGUGAACGAUAACUGAUCAAAACAGUUGUACUAAUUAACAAACUUCGAAUGGAGAGAGGGGCCUAUUAUACUAUUUGAUAAGGUUUAGAGAGUCAAAUUGUCAAAAUUGAUAGUUCAUGUGCCAAUUACAGAAGACCUAAAGUUCAGGGGGGUUUUUGUACAUUUUCCCCUAAAUCUUGCUGAAACUGUAUUAUCACUUCUAUCUUUGAACUAUUAUAGAUGAGCAAUGCUACCCGUACAUCUAUCUAUAGAGUGUAAAUUUUGCACUUCACUUAUCGGAAAGCUAAUAAUUUUUUUUUUUACUAGUCUUAUCAACUUUUUUUAGUAUAUAAAACUCAAAAAGUGAACACUAGAAAAAGCGGGUUGUAAGAUUUACAGCAAUAAUUAGGUGUACAAAUAGCAUUUUUCAUUGUAGAGAUAUUUCUCCAACAAAAUAGUUUAUCAUUAUUUUGCAGCAUUGAUGAAGUGAAACUUGAAAUUUUAAAGUGAUUUUGAAUUUUUCUCUUUUGAUACUCAAAAACAAUCAAAAUUGUUGCUUUUGGUAAAGUAUUUUCAAACAAGUGCAAGGAUAUUAAUGUUGUUGCUCAAAAAUUGAUCUAGUAAAAAUAUAAAAAAAUAAAAUUAAUGAUUGGUCUAGCAGAAAACAGUCCAGAAAUUUAACACUCUCGCUCACAUCUAUAAUAAAUAUCACGAGAACCAUGCUACAUGUGGAAAUUGAAUUCAGGACUUCUUAAAUGGAAAUGAGUUAGGACUUAGAACUAUCUUCGAUAUCAUAUUAUCCAAAAGAAUUAAUUUAGUUGGAAAUGAUCUUUAACACAUAUAAUUAAAUGGCCAUACUCUGAUGUCAAUUAGCCCAAUAUGGAUAAUCUCUAUACUAUCCCAAUAUUUCAAUAUAAUCCCAUAAUUUUUUUUUAAUGUAUCUUAUCUGGUAUCGUCAGUCAUCCAACGCUAUUAAGUAAAACGGAACUAGAGCGAAAGCAUUUAAAAAUAUACUUAUGUAUUUUUUGGCAGCAUCAUAAAAAUAUAUCGUAACGAAUUUAUUACAAUAUAAGCAACGUAAUAUCAUAAAUUAAUAGAACAUUUUUUCACGGCACAUUUUUAAUGUAUGUGAUGCAAUCUCCCUGCAAUCAGAAUAAAGCCGUAGUCCAAUCCUGACUCUGAGUAGUUCGUAAGUUGCAAUUUCAUGUUGGGACGGUCGAAUACAAUCAGACAAUCGUUCAUAUUUUUCUUCCGAUGCGAAUUCAGAUUUGGAUGUGUCAGAUGGUAAAAUUUUCAUUAUCAUAUCUGCUCUUAAAAGGGAUGCGAAUUCAUAUACAAGUCAAAUUUAUAUACGGCUAUUAUUCAGAUAAUAAUAUAUACUAAUAUACAGAGUCCGGCUACUACACUAUCGAUAGUACCAAGUGCUUGGUUCUAUCGAGUUUUGCGCCAUUAAAUCUACCCCUUUGAUUAUUUCCACCCGUUAAAUUAUACUAUUCUACCAACCACCCACUCAACCCUAAGGGACCACUAUCAUCCUAACUACACGUCCCUUCAUCCAAGGACCAAAACCUAAUAGCACUAAGCGCUUGAUACUAUUAAUAGUAUAGCAGCCUAAUUCCUAAUAAAUACAUAAAUAUAAACUAAAAUUAGCAUGCAUAAAACACAAUUAUGCAAUAAAAUAUAUAGACUAAAAUUAGCAUGCAUAAAACACACUAUGCAAUAAAAGGCUUCCACUCCUGUUCAAACAUUAUAUACAUAUAUUUUAUUCAAUAAAAUUUAAUAUUUUAAUAAAUAUAAAUACAAUUUUAAUAUAAAAUUCAUAAUAAAGUAAGCAAAAAAUAUGAUAAAAAACCACAUUAACUUUCUACAAUGUAUAUUUACAUUUCUCUUAUCUUUUUCUUAGAGGUAAAAACAGUCAAAUACUGUCGGAUUUUUUAAGAAACCAUAUUCGCAUUCGUUUUUUUUCUCGGCUAUGAAUUCAGAUACGGCGAUAUGUCGAACGUUCAAUUUUAAAAUUCAUUUUUGCAUUCUAUCGAAUCCGGCGUUUAGAGUUUAUUGUAACCACUUUCGCCCCUGGUCAUUACUACUACUAUGGGGACUAUGCUACAAUGGUGGAAUAGUACAGGGACUACGCACAUAUUUUACCUUAAAAAACAGAGAUAUAACCAAAAAAAACAAAAAAAAAAAAAACAGAGAUCUAGGGUACAAACCAGUCGAUGACGAUGGGUUGAGCGAGCUCCUUGGAGCGGCGGAGCACCUCGUCGAGCUCCUCGACGCCAUUAAUGGCCUCCAUCUCCACCGACGCGGGCCGCGACACGUCCUGCCAAAACGCCCCCGCCCUCAUCCCCUCCCCGGAUCUCCAUCCCCCCAUCCCCAUCCUCCUCCUCCUCCUCCACCACCUCCCCCCCUCCUUGCUCACCCCGACCAAUCCUCCGCCGUUCGACGGCCCCGCGGAGCACCCCGCGCCGUUGGAUUGGUGCGCCGCUCCGUGCUCAUCCCUGCUCCAGAGCUCGCGGUGGAGGACGCACAAAUUCGGCGCCAAAAUCGCCAUUGUUGGGCGAUGAGCGGGUUAGGGUUUUGAUCCUCUUCGAAUCGGUUCGAGAAAAUUCGAUUUUAGAGAGAGAGAGAGAGAGAGAGCGAACGAAAAGGCUUAUCCACGAAUGGGAGGAAGCGGAGGAGUAGGACGAAGUGGGGUGGGAGUGUGGGACCCACUCACCCACACAGAGAACUUUGGGGCCGCCACGUGAUAAUUAUCCUAAGCCUCCGUUUGGUUCGGGGUUAAGGAAAAAGUAGCUAUACCAGGGAUAGGGUUAAGUUCGGGGUUAAAAUGGUGUUAAAAUUUUUUUGUGUUUGGUUGGAGUAGGUGGGAUAAAAAGAUAAUGAUUGAUAAAUAAGAAAAAAGGUGAGGGCUCGGGAUGCGUGCGGGGUUAAAGUUGGGAAGGGGAGUGGGGUUAAUGAUUGAUAAAGAAGAAAAAGGUGAGAGCUCGGGAUGCGUGCGGGGUUAAAGUUGGGAAGGGGGUGGGGUUAGUAAACCCCACCCUUUUUUCAUGGUGUUUGGGUAUAAAUUGGGGGUUAAGGGGUUAUUCCACCCCUUAACCCCCAACCAAACGGGGGCUAAGGAUUUAGUUGGGCCCACUUCAUUGGACGGUCGUGAUUGCGUGUCAUUACUCGCACCGGUUCAACUUGAUCCAAAAACCACAUAAAUACUUUUUCCCAAUGACUGAAUGUUAGAAUAAAUUUUUUAGUAAUAUUUUUAUUUGGUACAAAAUUUUUUAUUAUGAUUGGAUUUAGGAGUGUGAUCAAAUGUGCUAAAUAAAAUAGCAUUUUUUUUACAUUAAUUUUUCAGAACAAAAUAAAUUAUUUCAUACAUAAAAUAUGUUAUUCUAUCGAAUUACAAUUAGUAAAGUUUUUUAAAGAGUAAAAUUUAAAUUCCUUGACUUUUAGUUACACAAAAAAAAUUUAUUUGAUAACUUAUCCUAAUAUUUAAUAUCCAUCCAGUGCAUGUACAUAAAUUUUCUCUGCUUGUCGUGAAACUUAGAUUAUAAUUGUAUUACAAAAUAAAGGGUGUUAACCAGCUGUUUUAUUCGAUUGUACUUAAAUUUAAAUUUAAAUUUAAAUUCUUCCCGUUUGAAGCCAAAUUUAAUAAUUUGGACCGCAUUUCAACAUGAACGGUACUGAGCAACUGUUUAAUACAGUGGUGAUCAAAUUUAAAGUCAAAUCUUUCAUGCUUAAAGCAAAAUUUAAAUAUAGGUCAUAUUGCCAAAUGAUAGAGACUAAUCCAUUGUUUAUUCUUGGGAUAAUUGCAUAUAGUUUUCUAUAAAUGUAUUUAAUAACAAGUAAAUCCCUAUCAAGCUUAAGUAAUCAAAUUUAAUUCUCAAAAAAUCCUUUUGUCUAUAAGUAUAUUUUUUUACUAAAAAAUAUGAAUAAUAAUGAAUGAAAAAAUUAACCAUGAUUAGGAGGUGGAUCUCUUAGUCUGCAUUUUUUUUGAUUUACUCAAAAACUUAUAAUUUUUGAUAACUAAAAAAUACGACUAGUUAUUUAAAAUGAAAUAUCAUAUUUGUGCUUCAACUAAUUUUUAGAAAUAAAAUAAAUCAACCGAUUGUUCCUAGAGCAAAUGAUAAAAGAUUUGAUGGUUGGAAUUCGAAACCUAAGUUCGAAUCCAAAUUAAUUCACAUUUCUAGUUAAGUUUAUUUCUAAACCAAAUAAACGAAACAGGUAUCUAUCUCUCAAAAGGAAAAAAAAAAAAAAAA
rnacentral:lncRNA from 1 species